GCGGUGGAGCAUGUGGUUUAAUUCGAAGCAACGCGAAGAACCUUACCAGGUCUUGACAUCCCCUGACAACCCGAGAGAUCGGGCGUUCCCCUUCGGGGGACAGGGUGACAGGUGGUGCAUGGUUGUCGUCAGCUCGUGUCGUGAGAUGUUGGGUUAAGUCCCGCAACGAGCGCAACCCCUAUUGUUAGUUGCCAUCAUUCAGUUGGGCACUCUAGCGAGACUGCCGGUAAUAAACCGGAGGAAGGUGGGAUGACGUCAAAUCAUCAUGCCCCUUAUGACCUGGGCUACACACGUGCUACAAUGGUUGGUACAACGAGUUGCGAGUCGGUGACGGCGAGCUAAUCUCUUAAAGCCAAUCUCAGUUCGGAUUGUAGGCUGCAACUCGCCUACAUGAAGUCGGAAUCGCUAGUAAUCGCGGAUCAGCACGCCGCGGUGAAUACGUUCCCGGGCCUU
rnacentral:rRNA from 1 species